rnacentral:rRNA from 1 species
GAUGAACGCUGGCGGCGUGCCUAAUACAUGCAAGUCGAGCGAACAGACGAGGAGCUUGCUCCUCUGACGUUAGCGGCGGAAGGGUGAGUAACACGUGGAUAACCUACCUAUAAGACUGUGAUAACUUCGGGAAACCGGAGCUAAUACCGGAUAAUAUAUUUAACCGCAUGGUUCAAUAGUGAAAGACUGUUUUGCUGUCACUUAUAGAUGGAUCCGCGCCGCAUUAGCUAGUUGGUAAGGUAACGGCUUACCAAGGCAACGAUGCGUAGCCGACCUGAGAGGGUGAUCGGCCACACAGGAACUGAAACGCGGUCCAGACUCCUACGGGAGGCAGCAGUAGGGAAUCUUCAGCAAUGGGCGAAAGAAUGACGGAGCAACGCAGCGUGAGUGAUGAAGGUCUUCGGAUCGUAAAACUCUGUUAUUAGGGAAGAACAAAUGUGUAAGUAACUAUGCACGUCUUGACGGUACCUAAUCAGAAAGCCAAGGCUAACUACGUG